rnacentral:lncRNA from 1 species
AGUGGCUCACGCCUGUAAUCCCAGCACUUUGGGAGGCCGAGGAGAGUGGAUCAUUUGAGGUCAGGAGUUCGAGAUCAGCCUGGAAAACACAGUGAAACCCCGUCUCUACUAAAAAUACAAAAAUUAGACGGGCAUGGUGACAUGUGCCUGUAGUCCCAGCUAUUUGAGAGACUGAGGCAGGAGAAUGGCUUGAACCUAGGAGGAGGUUGCAGUGAGCCGAGAUCAGGCCACUGCACUCCAGCCUGGGCAACAGGGCAAGACUCCAUCUCAAAAAAAAAAAAAAGAAAGAAAAGAAAGAAAGAAAGUGAC